ensembl:snRNA U6 U6 spliceosomal RNA
GUGCUUGCUUCAGCAGCACAUAUACUAAAAUUAGAACGAUACAGAGAAGAUUAGCAUGCCCCUGCGCAAGGAUGACAUGCAAAUUUGUGAAGCAUUCCAUAUUUUU